GAAAAAAGGCAGAUGAAAAAGAGAACAUGAUGUGAGCUCUGAAAAGAGGAGAGGCACACGAAAAAUGUGAACUGCUGAAUUUACUGUCUAGCUAUAAUGAGUUUGUGUUUAUGAGGGUGAGACUGAUGGCACCUUGCUGAGGCAAUGCCUGAACAAGAUACCUUUUAUCUGAUGGGAACUUAUUCCAAUUGGGAAAAAAUCCUCUGAAAUAUUCCAUGUCCUUUUGGAGCCACUGUGAACAACUGACCCCUCUCCAGAGGUUUCCUGUGGUCCCUUUGUCCCUGCAAGCUAAGGAGCAACAAUCUAUAUGGAAAUAUGGAGCCAGUUUGGUGAGGAUAUCCCAAGUAUGGAAAUGCCAAGCUGGACAAGGAAUAACCACUGCUCUUGCUGCCACAGCUCUUAUGCUUCCAGCGACAGUAUUUACUUUGUGUUACAUGUUUGUUUCAGAGCAGUGUUUGGACCCUUGGCUGUGAACUCUCACAUCUUUUGCUGCUUGUCUGCUAUAGAAAUAUCUGUUGUCUGUGAGGGUGGCACCUCUGUGAAGCCAGGUCUUCCAAACAAUGGAGUUGAAUAAAAUGAAUUAUUCCAUGAGAUGCACUUGCCUGUAGGAAGUGAUGAGAAGAAGUGUCACCACUGCAUUGAACCAUAUAGAUGUCACACAUGGUUUUUCUUGUAUAAAUGUACCUUUUUAUUUACACACCUGAACAGAUAGAAAUGGCUAUAGCAUGUUCAUGACCAGGUUCCAAAUGUAAUGCAGUAUGAGUGUUGAUUUUAUAAAAAGCAUAAAUAAAGGAAAUUUAUG